AUGCCCGUGUUCCCAAACGGGACUGCAGGCAGCGCUUACCGCCCAUCGCGGCCGGCCAGGAGCACAACGGAGUGCUUCACUUUCGGCGGUGCCGAGGAGCAGCCCGGCCUCCAGGGGCAGAACGUGCCGGCAGCUCUGACACCGUCCCGCCGUGGCUCCGGGAGUGCCCGUGUCCCUCAGACACGGCCCCCCGCCGCCAUCUUGCUAACGGCGCCGCUCCACGGUGCGGGACCGGGCGGUGUGGUGCCCUCUGCCCGCCACGGUGAGGGGCCGGGCGUCGCGGAGCCCCGGCUCGCCAUGGCGCGGCGCCGGGCGCUGUGGAGCUACUCCGUGCAGCUCGUCGCGCUGCCCUCAGCGGCUGGCUGGUCAGGUGGAACGCCGCAGCCGUUCAACGGCUCCUACCGGAGACCUAUAGAGCCGCCGCCGGGGAAGGGGUGGAGCGGCACCAUGGAGGAGGAGGAGAAGGAGGAGAAGGGGGACGAGACUCUUCAGGGGCGGCAGCAGCAGCAGCCUAGGAGUUCUCCUGAAAAAGGUAUGGAUAAGAACACAGAUGAAGAGCAGCCUUCAACUGCCUGUAACCAGUACCCUAAGGAAGCAGUGAAGAAACGUCAGAAUUCGGGUCGAGGGUCCGGGGGCAAUGAUUCUUCCAGGACCUUCAGAAAAAGCUUCAGGCUGGACUACAGAUUAGAAGAGGAUGUAACUAAAUCAAAGAGGGGCAAAGAUGGGAGAUUUGUCAACCCAUGGCCAACGUGGAAAUCACCAACCUUACCCAACAUUUUGAAAUGGUCCUUCAUGGAAAAAAAUAACAGCAAUGUGCCACGCUCCAAGCAGGAACUCGACAAAGAACUCCCAGUGUUACAGCCUUACUUUGUUCAAACACCAGAAGAUGCUGGGAAGACAGGAGCCGGUAUGCGAGUCACAUGGCUGGGACAUGCCACAGUUAUGGUGGAAAUGGAUGAACUUGUAUUUCUUACUGACCCGAUCUUCAGCCAGAGAGCUUCCCCUGUUCAGCUGCUGGGUCCCAAGCGCUUCCGAGGGCCCCCGUGCACGGUAGCGCAGCUGCCCAGGAUAGACGCGGUGCUGAUCAGCCACACCCACUACGAUCACCUGGACUACAACAGCGUGGCCAGUCUGAACCGGCGCUUCGGGAGCGAGCUGCGCUGGUUUGUGCCCCUGGGGCUGCUGCAGUGGAUGCAGAGAUGCGGCUGUGAGAAUGUCAUCGAACUGGAUUGGUGGGAGGAGAACUGUGUCCCUGGUCACGAUGCGGUAACUUUUGUCUUCACCCCUUCCCAGCACUGGUGCAAAAGGACUGUGACAGAUGAUAACAAGGUUCUCUGGGGCAGCUGGUCUGUCUUGGGACCUUGGAAUAGGUUUUUCUUUGCAGGAGAUACUGGAUAUUGUUUUGCUUUUGAGCAAAUAGGAAAAAGGUUUGGACCUUUUGAUCUUGCAGCCAUCCCCAUUGGAGCUUAUGAGCCAAGGUGGUUUAUGAAAUACCAGCAUGUGGAUCCUGAAGAAGCUGUAAGAAUCCAUAUUGAUGUUCAAGCAAAGAAGUCUGUAGCAAUUCAUUGGGGGACCUUUGCUUUAGCAAAUGAGUAUUACUUGGAUCCUCCAGUUAAAUUGAAUGAAGCUCUUGAAAGAUAUGGCUUGAAAAAAGAUGACUUCUUUCUCUUACACCAUGGAGAAUCACGGAAUUUGAAUACAAACGACCGGUUUGAAAACUGAAAGUGUCAGUUCCUUGUUGGAGAACAUGGAAAGAGACUUCUAGACAUCUGUUAUUGAGCUUAAGAAACCAUGUAUCAGCUAUAUCUAGAACAGACUGGUUCUAAUGUCUUGUCAGGAAAGGAGGGUAUGUAAAUUCUUAGUGUCUGGCCUGGUUUUUACCUUUCUUAGUCAAAUUCAGCAGCAGAAAAUAUUAAAUCUACAAAAAGUUGCAAAACAUUAAGUGAUUGUAAUGUAACUUGCUUAUUACAAACUGUGCAGUGUUUUAGGAGCAGUGGGAAGGAGAAAAGGAAGUUCACUGUCAAUGCAGCAAUUGUCAAGUUUCUGACUGGGAAUCAUGCCAACUUCUAUUUCUGCCUUAACUGUGUUCCUGUUUUAGCUAUUUGCAAAGUGACCUCCUGAAAACAAGUAUCUACUGCAUUACAGAAUGAGAAGAUAGUAAUGUUUUCUUAAGAGCAGAGGUGAUGCAGCAAAGAUGCCAGUCUCUGAGCAAAUGGGGCAGAGUCCCUGCAGAGUGUGAAGAAAAUUGAGUCUUCACUGUGUUCCUCCGUCGUGGUGCCUUCUUCAUCAUUCAUGUUCUUUUUCAAGUUUGCUGCAAACGCCAGGGCUCGAACCAGAACAUCUCUGUUUACACAGCUGUCAAAAAGUAACACCAAUGAUGGCACCUAGGAUAUUGAAGAAAUAGUCCAUGCUUAAUCACCAGCAGUAAGUACAUGUAACUAAAUCCAACUUAAGAAAAUGGAAAAGAAUGUGCACCUCAACCAUCUAAAGUAGAAAUUGUAUGAAUUCCCAGUAUACUGUGAACUCCUGGCAGAAACCUGCACAGUGUGCACAUUUUCUCUCUACAAAAGACUGGCCUGUGCAUCAAUGGGCUAAUAAAUGCUUUGUAUUUUCCAUCUCCAAAAUGUGGCUGUCUGGAAAAUUCCCAUUUGGAAGAGAGGGUCUCCUUUCCUUCUCAGCCAUGCUGAUUUUGCCCUGAAUGUUUUUGUUAGCGUAUCUGAUAAAUGAAAAAUGAUGCACUUAACAGAGAAUUGAAUAUUUAGCUACACUAACCUCAUUUGAAUAACGAAAAGACAGCAUUAUCUAGACUAGCUUUGCUCAUGGCAGAUAGCUCACAAAUAAAAGCCAUUGCACAUUUUAAGAAAGUUACUUUGGGGAGGGGGAUGAGGAUGCAGCACAAUUCCAGCCCCUCGCUUUGUUUGUGAGGAAUUGAAACUGAAGGAAACACUUUGUGUGCCAAGGCCAACACAGCAAAUGUCACACAAAUUUCUCCAUGAAGAAAUAAGUAAAUGCACAGGGAAAGUUCACUUAGAGCACUUAGAGGCAACAGUUUUAUGGCUAUAUUUGAAUAAAGGGGUGGGGAUUCCCGUGGAAUUUGGUUGGGUUUGGUCCAGUACAUUGGCUAUAGAAACAGCAGUUGAGAAGGAUCACUUACAGUACUGGUUCUAUUUGAUAUUUUUCAAUCUAUAUACUGACUGUGUGUCUGGAAGUGAAGUUUAGGGUUCAAAUGUAAUAAUACAAACUGAAGUUCAUGGUAUUAUCCCUUUGGUGGAAAGGGAAGGUUAGAACAGGCUUCUGCAAGUUAUCAUUGAUUAUUUGGAACGGUACACAGGAAGUACAACCAACUGUCUCCAAGGGCACAGGCCCUGUGCCUCUCCCUCUCUAAGGACAGUAUCUGUAUUACACUACCCUCUGGAAUAAAGCCCACCCGUGAAAGAAUGUGCACUUAGCUACUGAUUUUAACAAAACAGUGUCUAGAAUUUAUCCUGGAAUUGCAUAUAUAUUUCUAAUACAUUAAAAUUCUUCUAGUGCAUGCAAUAUCUAAACUGGUACACAUGUAUAUAUGCUAAAAAUAAAAUGAAGCAGCAAGAACCUUA